GGGCAUCAAAACAGAAAAGCGAGGCGGUGCAUAGGGCAAGGGACUAUAUAGGGUUCAGUUGGGAGGUCGAUCCGAGCGCGGUGCUUGCAUCCGACUCGGGUUAGUUUGGUUCGUACACGAGCAGGGGAGGAAGGAAGCCCACGGCUGUUUCUUCCCAGGCCGGCUUCUGGUGAUUUGCUGGGCCACAUGCCACAGCUGCUGGUGGUUACUGCGCCAGAAGAAAAGAGGAUGAAGGAACUGGGCCUCUCGGCCCAACUCAGGCAGGGGAGGGUUUUCUUUAUUUUCUUUUCCUUUCUCCUUUUAUUUUCUUUUCUGUUUCAUGUUAUCUUCUCUAUUCUUUACUGUUUUCUCUCUUCUCUUUUGCUAACUGUUUUCAAAUAUAAUUGCAGCUGAAACUGAACUACAGCUAGGUCUCUAAGGUCAGCAGUAGCACACUACUCGUUUUUUUUAUUGAAGGCAUGUAGACAUUAUCACUACUAAUUACCAACUCAAGACCAGCUUAAGCUAAAAUAAAAUAAUAGCUAACAAAAUAUAUGAGCUAAGAACAUAACGGCAAGCAUACAAAAAGAAAAUAUGCACCAGCAUGUAUGCCACACCAAAAGAAAAAAAACUUUAUGAUGUAUUCUGAUUGAACAAAAAUAUUGACCUACUAUGUGUGAUGCCCAAACAAAUGCAUAAGUAAUUUAGGUUAACCUGAUUCAAUUGAAUUUCAAUUUUUUUAGGGUGUUACAAACCUACCCCCCUUAAAAUAAUCUCGUCCUCGAGAUUAGGCUGCUUACUGAAAUAACUGUGGAUAUUUUUGCCUCAAAUCAUCUUCUCUUUCCUAUGUUGCUUCAGCCUCAGAGUAUCGAUUCCACUGAACCUUGCACAUCCUAAUAACUCUGCUUCUAGUUACUCUUUCUGCUGUCUCCAAAACUUUAACUUGAUAUUCCUCAUAUGUAAAACCCUCUUUAACAGUAAGCUCAUCUAAUGGUAUUUGCUCUUUUGGUACUCGCAAACACUUCUUAAGUUGAGACACAUGGAACACAUCAUGCACUCCGGCUAGGUUCUCAGGCAAUUCUAACUGAUAUGCAACUUCGCCACACCUAGCUAUAAUUUUAAAAGGUCCAACAUAUCUUGGUGCUAGUUUACCCUUCAUAUUAAAUCUCUUGACACUUCGCAUAGGUGACACCUUCAAAUAAACAUAGUCACCUACAUUAAAAGCCAAAUCUCUUCUUCUAUUAUCAGCAUAGCUCUUCUGGAGAGACCGUGCAAUUCUUAAAUUCUCUCUAAUCUUCAGCACCUUUUAUUCAGCAUCCUUGAGCACAUCUGGUCCAAACACUUUGCCUUCACCGGUUUGGUUCCAAAACAAAGGUGUUCUACACUUACGCCCAUACAAUGCUUCAAAAGGUGCCAUCUUGAUACUCUGCUGAUAGCUAUUAUUAUAGAACUCUGCAUAAGGCAAACUCUUAUCCCAACUAGUACCGUAUUGCAAUGAACAAGCUCACAACAUGUCUUCCAAUAUCUGAUUAGUUCUUUCAGUCUGUCCAUCUGUCUGAGGGUGAUAGGCUGUACUGAAAUUCAAAAUAGUUCCCAAUGACUCAUGCACCUGGUGCCAAAAGUGAGAUGUGAACUGUGAACCUCUAUCAGACACAAUCUUGUGCACUCCAUGUAGACAUACAAUUCUCUCCAUAUACAAUUCUGCCAACUUUGGCCCAUGAUAAGUAGUCUUCACCGGUAUAAAAUGAGCAACUUUAGUCAACCUAUCCACAAUUACCCAAAUAGAAUCAUAACCAUUCCGAGUACGAGGUAAACCAGCUAUAAAGUCCAUACCUACUCCUUCCCACUUCCAUUCAGGAAUCUUCAUAGGUUGCAACAGUCCUGCUAGUCUCUGAUGUUCAACUUUCACCCUCUGACAAGUAUCACAUAAUGCAACAUACUCAGCUACAUCUCGCUUUAAACGAACCCACCAAUACUUUUCUUUCAAAUCCAUAUACAUCUUUGUACUGCCAGGAUGUAUAGAAUAAGCAGACUCAUGAGCGUCACGCUAAAUUGCCUGUCUUAUAGAUUUAUCUUCAGGCACACAUAUAUGCUUACGAAACCAUAGAGUUCCCUUAUCAUCCAUAUGGAAACCAGGUGACUUACCAAUCACUAAAUUCUCUACUAUCUCCUUCAAUUUCUCAUCCUUCAAUUGACCUCCACGUAUCUCUUGCUCUAGUGUGGGCUCAGUUACCAUCUCCACGGCAUUAGCAAGAAUUCCCAAAUUCAAAUGUGCAAAUUCAGUACACAACUCCUCUGACAUAGAAGACAUUUCCAACUCAUUAACACCACUUUUCCUGCUAAGAGCAUCUACAACAACAUUAGCUUUGCCAGGGUGAUAAUGCACAUCCAAAUCAUAAUCUUUAAUCAACUCCAACCACCUACGUUGUCUCAAGUUUAGAUCAGACUGAGUAAAAAUAUACUUCAAACUCUUGUGAUCAGUAUAAAUGUCACUCUUAUGGCCAAUCAAAUAAUGUCUCCAUAUUUUCAAAGCAUGAACUACAACUGCUAAUUCUAAAUCAUGAGUAGGAUAAUUCACUUCAUGCUUUCUCAACUGUCUAGAUGCAUAAGCAACAACUCUACCAUCUUGCAUAAGAACACAUCCCAAACCUCUACGAGAUGCAUCACAAUAGAUAGAGAAUUUCUUACUCAGAUCUGGUAGAACCAACACUGGUGCUGUAGUCAACCUCUUCUUCAACUCAUCAAAGCUUUCUUGGCAUUUAUCAGACCACACAAACUUAGCAUUCUUCUCUAAUAAAGCAGUCAUAGGCUUAGCAAUUUUGGAAAAUCCUUCGAUGAAUCUCCGGUAAUAUCCAGCUAACCCAAGAAAACUGCGAAUCUCCCUAACAUCAGUUGGUGGCUUCCAAUUAAGCACAUCUUUCACCUUGCGUGGAUCAACACAAAUACCACCUUUAGAAACAAUAUGACCAAGAAAAGAAACUUCCUUCAACCAAAAGUCACACUUGCUUCUCUUAGCAUACAACUUGUGCUCUCUAAGCUUCUGCAAUACUAAUCUCAAGUGUUCAGCAUGUUCUUCUUUAGUUUUAGAGAAUACCAAUAUAUCAUCAAUAAAGACCACAACAAACCUAUCCAGAUAUUCCAUAAACACCUUAUUCAUCAUGUACAUAAAGUAUGCAGGUACAUUGGUCAAACCAAAAGACAUAACUGUAUACUCAUACAAGCCAUACCUUGUAGUAAAAGCUGUCUUUGGUAUAUCAGAAUUAUGAAUCUUCAAUUGAUGAUAACCAGAAUAAAGAUCAAUCUUAGAGAACACACAAGCACCUCUCAAUUGAUCAAACAAAUAAUCAAUUCUAGGCAAAGGAUACUUGUUCUUAAUUGUGACCUCAUUAAGUGAUCUAUAAUCAACACACAUCCUUUGCCCACCAUCCUUCUUGUCAACAAAUAUAACAGGUGCACCCCAUGGUGAAGAACUAGGACGAAUAAAACCUUUAUCUUGUAAUUCCCUUAAUUGUUUCUUGAGUUCUUCUAAUUCAUUUACUCCCAUUCUAUAUGGACGUUUAGCUAUAGGUGCAGUUCCAGGCAAUAACUCAAUAAGAAAUUCAAUGUCUCGGUCAGGUGGCAUACCUGGCAAAUCAUCUGGGAAGACAUCUGGAAAAUCAUCCACAAUUGAAUCCUUCUGAUUAGCCCCAUCAACAAUCUGAUUCACUAUGGCAGUCUUUGGUUUCUGCACAACUACAUCAACAUUGAUCUCAUCACCCUUUGGUGUAGUGAGAGUCACCACUUUCUCUCUACACUUUAUGUUUGCACCAUACUGCUUCAUCUAGUCCAAACCCAAUAUCACAUCAAUUCCAGAAUUUCUCAACACAAUAGGACUAAUCUGAAACUCUACCCCCCUUAAAAUAAGAUUGACUGAGGGGCAACAAUAACCAGCUGAUAUGGGUCCUCCAGGUGAAUUUAUUAACAUCUGGUUCUUCAUGGAUACUAAUGGUAUGCUAUGCAUGGUAACAAAUGUAUGGGAAAUAAAAGUAUGCGAAGCUCCAGAAUCAAAAAGAACUGUAGCAGGGAUGGAGUUGAUGUCAAACAUACCCAUCAUAACCUCUGGUGACUCCCGAGCUGUAGAAGUAGACAUGUGGUUCACGUUUCCAGAAUUGGGAGUUGGCUGAGAAAACUUCCCUCUAUUGCCACUAUUAUUGUUCUGGUUCUGCUUCUGAGGACAAUGAUUAGCGUAAUGUCCUACAUCUCCACAACGAAAGCAUACAACUGGAGUAGCAGGUGAAGAUGCAUUGUUCUUUAUAGGAGUGGAGCUGGGGCCUUGGCGAGGAGUCUUUUGUCCAUCAUGCUGCUGAUUCUGCUGAUUGCCUUGCUGAUUCUGAUGCCUCUGCUGAUACUAGGAUCCUUUCUGAUUCUGAUUGUGAUUCCACUGACUAACUGGUCCUUGGAACCUCUGCUGAAAACUAGAAUGAGAAUUGGAGCGAUUACGACUGUUGCUCCCAGAGAACUGAGCUUUCCUCUUCCUCUUCCUGUCCAUUUCCUUGCGCUCAUUAUCAAGCACAAUGGCACGAGUCACCAGAGUCUGAAAGUCUGGAUAUACAUUGCCCUUUAGCUGCAACCUAAGAUCAAAAUAAAUUCCCUUCAAGUAAAGGCGCUGCUUAUCUGAAUCUUCUUUCACCUCAUUAGGAGCAUAGCGAGCCAACUGAGAGAACCUAUCAUGAUAUUCACUCACAGACAUAUCUCCCAUCCUGAGGUUGCGAAAUUCCUCCUGCUUCUGCUCAAUCACACCAUCAGGAAUAUGGCGAGCCUUGAAGUCUCUAGAGAACUGCUGCCUGGUGACGGGGGCAGCAUUUGCAGGGCGUGCAGCUUGAUAUGAUUCCCACCAAGUCUGGGCUGCACCCUGUAGCUGACCAGAAGCAUAAAGCACCUUCUGGGCAUCAUCACACUGAACCACAUUCAAUUGCCUCUCCACUGCUCUCAGCCAAUCAUCUGCCUCUAGGGGAACAGCUGCAUGAGAGAACACCGGGGGAUGACCUUGCAUGAAUUCCCUGCGCUUAUUAGAGGCUCCACCUGGUUGAUUCUGUGACUGUUGCACCAAAGCUUGCAACAGCUGAGUCUGCAGUGGCAUUACCUGCUCCAAGUUCAUUGGCGGUGGUGGAGGCGGUGGGUUAGGACCCCCACGUCCAUGACCUCUUCCACGAUUAGCCAUCUGGAAUCAGAACAUGCCAAAGUUUAGAUAUCCAAGUCAAUGACAAUAUAUAGAGAUAAAUAAUGCAAUCUGGAAAUUUCUGGGUAAGCUCAGAAAAUCAGCAGUGCAGUAAAAUAUCAAUAUCUUGAGUUCCAGAAUUCCAAUGUGGUCAAAUCUUAUAUGGUUGGAAAGAUAAAGAAAUUAUAUACAAAAACUAUUUCAUGACAUUUUCCCAGAUUCUGAAUCUACGAUAAGGUAAAACAGCGAAACAAAUUCUCUGUCCAGAAUUUCUGUCAGCCCAUCAACUUCAACUUGAAACUGUUAUAUCUCACAAACCGUAAUAGCUAAUUAGGUGAAUCCAGUUUGAGAUGAAAUAUACUUAAGUCUAGCUAUUCCCAUUAAAAUUUCAUAACCAUUAGAUGAACAGAAUUCGUGAUAUACCAGAAACAAUGCAGGCUGCUCCAGAAAUCAGCAUGUAGAGAAAAGAUAUAACUACCCCAUACUCUUUGUAUUAAACUUAUAACUAAAUAUCCUUAACAGUGGAACUUGUGAACAUGUCCACAAAGUUCCAGCAUUUAUUACAAAGAACGAAAUCAAUCAUUAGCACAAUAAUAAAUCAUUCAAGCACAUAUUAAUCGUACCACACGAAAGACUUGACACAACCAAUGAUUCUAAACGUUCUAAUUUCAAAAAGGGGUUUUACACUAGCUAAAAGGGGUAGGGUCAUAAGAGUAUGUUAAGGAACAUCUAGAGUUAGACUAAGGUAGGAUUAUAAUGGAAUCAAAAACUUUGCAAUAAAAUAAAGGAAAGAAGGUAUAAAACCUUUAGGAAAUAGCAAGACCAAAGGUUGUAAGCAAGAACAUCCAAAGCAGGGAUAAUAAUUCGACCAUUACUAACUAGGCUUGUGACCUACAGUCAACACGGCUUUGAUACCAAUUUGUCACACACAAUUUUAAGAAUAAAAUUGAAUGCAUAAAUACUUAUGUGCGCCCAGAGAUCCAUCACACACAUAAGCUGACAAACCAUAAAUAGUACCAUCACACAUGUUUAUUACAUAGCGAAUAAUAAUUCAUUACAAAAAUAUCUGAGUCUUAGCGGAAAUAUAAAUAAUAACUAGUUAUGGCUCCUCCAUAACCACAGGGAACGGCUGACUGGUUGACAACACGCCUAGUACUCAUUACGGUAAUGAUCAAUCCAAUCCUGAUCUGUUGUGUGGGAAUUAGCAAGAGUGAGUCCAUGUCGAACUCAGCAAACAUAACAUGGAUUUAUGAAAGCUCAAAAGGCUAGACACUGGUUUAAUUGCAUUAGCUUUUUAUGAUAAAUAACAUGGCCAAUAGGUAGCAUCAAGAAUAAUCCAAACCCAUGAUAAACUGAUGAUCAAUUGUAAUAAGAAUAAUAACCAGCAAUAAUUAACAAGAUAAUAAUUAAAAAUAAACAUGGCAUAAACAGGUGAUCAACUAUUCCAUAAGAAUCCCUUGGCCGCCCGUAACCGUGGGCACGGCUAGUAUACCAGUUUAUUAAACUCUGCGCAGAGGUGUACACUUUACUAGUGAGUCAUAAUUUCCAAGUGCUUGGGUUUAUAACUCCCAAACACUUGUAAACCAUAUAAAGCUAUUUAAAAGUUCUUCUAACAAGUUAGGGCCGCAAGGUUUCCGCGGCAACCAAAUAUUGGAACCCCCCUGUCUGAUGGCACAUUCCAUCCGUAUAUACACAUGAGAUUAGAGGCUGUCCAAUACCCAUCUCGGCACGCCCCUUUCGCGCCAUAAAGGUAACCACUAACAAGCUAGAAGAGGUCUUAUAAACAACUAAAGCCAGAGCCAUAUAGCCCCCACAGUUGUACUGGAAAUCCCGGAUGAUCACUUAUAGAAUAAGUCCUUAUGGAGAGAAACUAGAGUCACAAAACCCCGAACUCUAGCCCCCAUGAACAAUAAGUAAAACAACAUUAAAUGUGAUUGCAUAACCAUUAGCCAAAUUACAAGAUCAUCAUUUAUUAAGUGCUAGCAUAACCUACCCAAAUGCUCAACCCAUAGGUGACAAGGGAUCAAGAUAUCAAAACUUAUGAAUCAUCACUAGGGUUAACAAGGAGGACACAUGCACAUGAAUAUAGUGGUUAUUAGUGAAUAGGUAACAAGGAGAUCCCAUGCUAUACUUGCCUUCUUCGUAGUAUUCCUGCUGGUCCUGCUGAUAUGGAUCACAAUAAUACUCCGUAUCACCACCAAAUUACUCACCGUCUAUUAUCGAUCAUCAAACAACGCCAAGCAAUCAACCGACAAACAUACACGAAGCAAACAAAGUCUAUAAUUAGAACAAUACACCAAACAGUAGCAAAUGAACAUGAAAAGCAUAAUAAAAUACUCUACUUAUGGCUAUGAUCAUAGAAAAGUUUAAUUCAUAAAAAUUGGAUUUAAAACGAUGAAGUUAUAGCUUUUCUACGCUCUCUAGUAAUUAAAUAUUAAUUUAGAUAUGAGCUCGAAAUUUUAAAAAAUAGGGAAACACUAAACCAUGGCACUACUGCGUAGAUCUCAUCGAUACGAAUCCAACGCAAUUUGAACGACGUGAUUUGGACUUAAAAUGAGCAAGUUAUUUGCAUUUGAGUUGAGUGGCAAUUCUGUAAAUAACCUGAACAGUUUUCGGUUUAAAACUAAUAAAACAAAUGCUGAAAUCUCAUUAGGCUAUGGACUGCGGGUUCAAAAAGUAGGAAGCUCAGGGUCUCUUAAUCAAAAUCACCAAUGAAGGGGUACUGCUUGCUCUCAGCCGUUGGAUUUAAAAUGGGCAGUGGAGAUUAGAAGGCAGGUAUCAGGAGGGGCUUCCCAGCACACAGUAACUCCGGCGACGAGCUCCAUUGCCGGCGGCGAUUUGCUUGCCGGACUUCGCUGUUCACGCUCUACAGUCCACCAAAUGACAUGGAAUUUUCACAGGGAGAAAGAGGAGAACAAGGGGGUUUCACCUAGGUAUGUUACGGGGUCUGGAACGGCUCCUGUGGAUCGGCCAACGACGUUAGGCGGCGCCGGGUUUCCUGUGAACGAGGUCGAGCUCUGUUAAGGCACGAGAAGAGGGGAAAAAGGAGGAAAAGGGUCCAUAUAUGUUCGGGAUGGCAAUUGGAGUCCUUUAGGGCUCUUACCGACGCUUGCGGAAUACCGAGAAGUUCCAAAUCGCGAACGCCCCCCGGCAGCUCGACGGGAUUUGCACAGCGACGGUGGCGCUGCGUCGCGAGGGGGUUAGGGCUCGGCUAGGGCGUCAAAACAGAAAAGCGAGGCGGUGCAUAGGGCAAGGGACUAUAUAGGGUUCUGUCGGGAUGUCGAUCCGAGCGCGGUGCAGGGGAGGAAGGAAGCCUACGGCUGUUUCUUCCCAGGCCGGCUUCUGGUGAUUUACUGGGCCACAUGCCACAGCUGCUGCUGGUUACUGCGCCAGAAGAAAAGAGGAUGAAGGAACUGGGCCUCUCGGCCAACUCAGGCAGGGGAGGGUUUUCUUUAUUUUCUUUUCCUUUCUCCUUUUAUUUUCUUUUCUGUUUCAUGUUAUCUUCUCUAUUCUUUACUGUUUUCUCUCUUCUCUUUUGCUAACUGUUUUCAAAUAUAAUUGCAGCUGAAACUGAACUACAGCUAGGUCUCUAAGGUCAGCAGUAGCACACUACUGGUUUUUUUUUAUUGAAGGCAUGUAGACAUUAUCACUACUAAUUACCAACUCAAGACCAGCUUACGCUAAAAUAAAAUAAUAGCUAACAAAAUAUAUGAGCUAAAAACAUAACGGCAAGCAUUAAAAAAGAAAAUAUGCACC
rnacentral:lncRNA from 1 species